AAUACUUUUAUAAAAACAAGAAGUCAAAGUUACGCUUUGGAGACCGUGUCAUUGUUCUGAACGACUUUUUUUAUGGAUACGGAUGGAGUACUUUGCAGCGUACUACUAAAAAAAGUGUCGUUUUAGAAUUUUAGAUAUCUUAUUUGAUCAUUCAUCUUAUUUAACUUUUUAUAUAAAUAUUUUAUAUUUUGUUAAGACUUAUUUUAUCAUUAUGGAUACUUUACUAAUAAUUAAUUUAUUUUAUAUUUUAUAAUUUUUUAAAUAAAACGAAUGGUAAAACAUAAUGUCUAAAAGUAAAAAAUGUCACUCAUUCUAGGACGGAGAGAGUAGAUUGGUGCAACAGAUAUUUGUCGUACUCAUACAUUCAUAUCCUGUUCAUAAUGCGUUGGUUAUUAAAAAAAAUAAAAAAAUCUAAUGGCCAAAAUAAACUUAGGCCUUGUUUAGUUCACCCCAAAAUCCAAAAACUUUUCAAAAUUUCCUAUCACAUUGAAUCUUGCAGCACAUGCAUAGAGCAUUAAAUAUGAAUAAAAAAAUAUAACUAAUUGCACAAUUUGUCUCUAAUUUACGAGAUGAAUCUUUUGAGCCUAGUUAGUUCAUAGUUGGACAAUAAUUGUCAAAUACAAACAAAAGUGCUACAGUAUCAAUAUCCAAAAAGUUUUUUACAUCUAACAAGGCCUUAUACUACCUGAAAAUUGAGCAUAACAGAGUCUUUCGAAGAUGGGUGUCAUAAUAUUAACCAUGCAUGUUGGUACUAGUGUUCCUAUUCCAUAUUCUACGUUACGGGAAUGUCUACGUUCCGAAAACACGAAUGUUUCCGUUCACACAUUAUAACAUGAUACUCUAAGUUCUCUUCUCUUUCAUAUUCCGAAAGCGGGGACAGAAACAUGGCUGCUAUAGCUAGAACAUACCGCCAAUGGGCGCUACAUGGAAAGACCUAACAUUGUAACAAAAUUAAAUUAAAAACCUAAAAGAUAAGUGGACAAAAGAGACAUAAAUAGCCCACCUAUAAAAACUAGUCAUUACGGGUUUUCCCAAAAGUUAGCUAUACUGUUUGAAUUUGUUCUCACUAUUUUUGUGAGUUGCUAGAGAUGGCUAGAGCCUAGAGACUGAAGCAGUUGAAGGUCCAUGUGUCAGCAAGUCGAAGGAGACAAAUGUAGCGAGGACAUUUUUGUCUAUACGAAAAUACAAUGCAGUGCAAGUAGGCCUAAUGUAUUCACUACGUAGAAAACCGGUAGUUUGGGAUCUACACCAUCGCCACCUCACCUUAGAUGAGUGCCAC
rnacentral:lncRNA from 1 species